AGGAGUGUAGUAUUUUAGUACAUAAAAUUGCAAAUUUUAAAGAUAUAUCUCCUU
rnacentral:tRNA from 2 species